rnacentral:tRNA from 1 species
GGCUUAGUAGCUCAGUUGGUUAGAGCGGGGGAUUCAUAAGCCCAAGGUCGCAGGUUCAAAUCCUGCUUAAGCCA